AGGUCCAAUGCAUUCCAACUCAUGGAAUCCUAUCAGCUCAAGAUGCCGAAGGAAUUUCAGUUGGCCAAGGGAUGGAAUUUCUUUGCACCUUUUGCUACCACUUAAUUUCAACUUAACCAAAUUUGGUAGCGACUCUUCACUGAACCAUGAAGGAAAUUUAGUCCCUAAAUAGUCCACUACUGCUAAGGUUUUCAAGUUAGGAUGCGGUUGAAGACCAUCCAACACAUGCUCAUCAUUGAUCUCACAGCCUUCUGAUUCAUCAUGGGACCAUAAAUAUGCCAGCUUGCAGAUAUUUGGUUUCUCCUGUAAAUAUGCUGUACGAGCCUCUUC